GAGUUUGAUCAUGGCUCAGGAUGAACGCUGGCGGCGUGCUUAACACAUGCAAGUCGAGCGAAGCGCUUUACUUUGAUUUCUUCGGAAUGAAGAGUGAUUUGACUGAGCGGCGGACGGGUGAGUAACGCGUGGGCAACCUGCCUCAUACAGGGGGAUAACAGUUAGAAAUGACUGCUAAUACCGCAUAAGACCACAGUACCGCAUGGUAUGGUGGUAAAAACUCCGGUGGUAUGAGAUGGGCCCGCGUCUGAUUAGGUAGUUGGUGGGGUAACGGCCUGCCAAGCCGACGAUCAGUAGCCGACCUGAGGAGGGUCGACCGGCCAC
rnacentral:rRNA from 1 species